rnacentral:rRNA from 1 species
AAGUUGCGCCCGAGGCUUGACCAAGGGCAUCCCUGUCAGAGCGUCACC